CCGUUCUGGGCUUCUGGCUGCAUUCUAGGAAGAUCAUUCCUUAAAAGAAAUAGCCAUAUGGCUUAUAAGGGACUAUAUCUUAAGACUAUGUGUCUUCUGCAGUUCUUUGCAUAGAGUCAACGUUGAAGGACAAGCAACUUCAAAUUUCCAAGCAACAAAAUUAUGUUCGGGUGGUUUUCUGAAAGCGAGAUCUUAAGAACCACCUGUAUCAGAAUCCCAUGAAGAGCUUGUUUAGUGUGCAAAUUUACAGAUUGUCCCCCCUCAGAAAUGCUCAUUUAGGAGUUCCUGUCCUUUGCGGGGACAUGGAUGAAGCUGGAAACCAUCAUUCUCAGCAAACUAACACAGGAACAGAAAACCAAACACUGCAUGUUCUCACUCAAAAGUGGGAGUUGAACAAUGAGAACACAUGGACACAGGGAGGGGAACGUCACACACCAGGGCCUGUCGGGGGUGGGAGGUAAGGGGAGGGAGAGGAUUAGGACAAAUACCUAAUGCAUGUGGGGCUUAAAACCUAGAUGAUGGGUUGAUAGGUGCAGCAAACCACCAUGGACAUGUAUACCUAUGUAACAAACUUGCAUGUUCAGUACAUGUAUCCCAGAACUUAAAGUAAAAUAUAAAACAAUAAUAAAAA
rnacentral:lncRNA from 1 species